GGAGGUGUAGCUCAGUGGUAGAGAGCUUGCCCAUCAUGUGGGAGGUACUGGGUUUGAUCCCCAGCACCACAA
rnacentral:tRNA from 1 species